rnacentral:rRNA from 1 species
AGUGAACGCUGGCGGUAGGCCUAACACAUGCAAGUCGAACGGCAGGACCGUAAGAUCUUGCCCUUACGGUUGGCGAGUGGCGGGUGGGUCAGGAAUACAUCGGAAUCUUCUCUUUCGUGGGGGAUAACGUAGGGAAAGUUACGCUAAUACCGCAUAUGAUCUACGGGGGAAAGCAGGGGAACUUCGCACCUUGCGUGAAUGAAUGAGCCGAUGACGGACUAGCUAGUUGGCGGGGUAAAGGCCCACCAAGGCGACGAUACGUAGCUGGUCCGAGAGGGUGAUCGGCGACACUGGAACUGAGACACGGUCCAGACUCCUACGGGAGGCAGCAGUGGGGAAUAUUGGCCAAUGGGCGCAAGCCUGAUCCAGCCAUACCGCGUGGGUGAAGAAGGCCUUCGGGUUGUAAAGCCCUUUUGUUGGGAAAGAAAAGCAGCAGGAUGAUACCCCGCUGUUCUGACGGUACCCAAAGAAUAAGCACCGGCUAACUUCGUG